rnacentral:rRNA from 1 species
GACGAACGCUGGCGGCGUGCCUAAUACAUGCAAGUCGAGCGGACAGAAGGGAGCUUGCUCCCGGAAGUUAGCGGCGGACGGGUGAGUAACACGUGGGCAACCUACCCUGUAGAUCGGGAUAACAUCGAAAAAUCGGUGCUAAUACCGGAUAAUCAUUUGAAGUGCAUGCUUCGAAUGUAAAAGAUGGCUCCGGCUAUCACUACGGGAUGGGCCCGCGGCGAAUUAGCUAGUUGGUAAGGUAAUGGCUUACCAAGGCAACGAUGCGUAGCCGACCUGGGAGGGUGAUCGGCCACACUGGGACUGAGACACGGCCCAGACUCCUACGGGAGGCAGCAGUAGGGAAUCUUCCGCAAUGGACGAAAGUCUGACGGAGCAACGCCGCGUGAGUGAUGAAGGUUUUCGGAUCGUAAAGCUCUGUUGUUAGGGAAGAACAAGUGCCGUUUGAAUAAGGCGGCACCUUGACGGUACCUAACCAGAAAGCCACGGCUAACUACGUGCCAGCAGCCGCCGCGGUAA